rnacentral:tRNA from 1 species
GACUCAUAUGAUAGCUCAGUUGGUUAGAGCGUGGUGCUGAUAACCCCAAGGUUACAGGUUUGAUCCCUGUAUGGGGCA